GGUAAAGUGGCUGAGUUAGGCAGUAAAUUGUAAAUUUAUUAACGAAAUAAAUAUUUCCUUUACCA
rnacentral:tRNA from 2 species